UGUUGCAGCUCCCUGAGAGCACUCUGGUACCAGUUUAUCUGAUGGGCUGGGGACCAGCAGCCAGACAUUAGGAAGAGCAUUUGGAGUGACACCCAGGUUAUGAAGACUGAGCUGAGCCAAGACUAACACUGUCCAUGUCCCAUCUUUGUGCCAAGGAAAUGGGCCACAGUAAGCAAGCCUCAAGUAUGAAGCAGCUGCCAUCUGUGCAAGAUCUGCAAACAGAGUGCCUGACUG